rnacentral:rRNA from 1 species
AUUGAACGCUGGCGGCAGGCCUAACACAUGCAAGUCGAGCGGAUGAAGGGAGCUUGCUCCUGGAUUCAGCGGCGGACGGGUGAGUAAUGCCUAGGAAUCUGCCUGGUAGUGGGGGAUAACGUCCGGAAACGGGCGCUAAUACCGCAUACGUCCUGAGGGAGAAAGUGGGGGAUCUUCGGACCUCACGCUAUCAGAUGAGCCUAGGUCGGAUUAGCUAGUUGGUGGGGUAAAGGCCUACCAAGGCGACGAUCCGUAACUGGUCUGAGAGGAUGAUCAGUCACCCUGGAACUUGGACACGGUCCAUACUCCUACGGGAGGCAGCAGUGGGGAAUAUUGGACAAUGGGCGAAAGCCUGAUCCAGCCAUGCCGCGUGUGUGAAGAAGGUCUUCGGAUUGUAAAGCACUUUAAGUUGGGAGGAAGGGCAGUAAGUUAAUACCUUGCUGUUUUGACGUUACCAACAGAAUAAGCACCGGCUAACUUCGUG